AGUUAAACAGUACGUGAAAUUGUUGAAAGGGAAACGAUUGAAGCCAGUCGUACCUUCGGGUAAUCAGCCUUUCGGGUGCGAUUCUGUGGGGUGUGAAGAGUUAAACGCCUUCACGUUUUGCAUAUUCGUGCUCUUGGGUGUACUUGCCCGUGUGGUUGGUUAACAUCAAUUUUGGACGCCAUAAAAUGACUGGAGGAAUGUAGCUUCGAUCUCGUAUUGAAGUGUUAUAGCCUUCGGUAGAUGUGGUUUUCGAGAUUGAGGAUUGCAACGGAUACCCUUCGGGGCUACCUAUCUGAUCUCUGAUCGUUGCUCUGGUGCCGAAAGCUUGCUUACGGUUAUCAAAGUCGAUGGUCAAUAUGUUAGAAUGGGUUAAAUUCGUUAAGGAUGUUGACGUAAUGGCUUUAAA
rnacentral:misc_RNA from 1 species